rnacentral:misc_RNA from 1 species
CCAAUAGCGUAUAUUAAAGUUGUUGCAGUUAAAAAGCUCGUAGUUGAAUUUCGGGAUUGACGUGACGGUCAUGCCUUAAGGGGUAUGAACUGUUACAGUUGAUUUCUCACCUUCUGGAGAAACUUGAUGUCCUUUAUUGGGUGUCUUGCGGAUCCAGGACCUUUACCUUGAAAAAAUUAGAGUGUUUAAAGCAGGCAUUUUUGCUCGAAUACAUUAGCAUGGAAUAAUAGAAUAGGACGGCAUGGUUCUAUUUUGUUGGUUUCUAGGAUCACCGUAAUGAUUAAUAGGGAGAGUUGGGGGCAUUAGUAUUCAAUUGUCAGAGGUGAAAUUCUUGGAUUUAUUGAAGACUAACUACUGCGAAAGCAUUUGCCAAGGAUGUUUUCAUUAAUCAAGAACGAAAGUUAGGGGAUCGAAGACGAUCAGAUACCGUCGUAGUCUUAACCAUAAACUAUGCCGACUAGGAAUCAGACGAUGUUAAUUUUUUAAUGACUCGUUUGGCACCUUACGGGAAACCAAAGUGUUUGGUC